rnacentral:rRNA from 1 species
CCUACGGGGGGCAGCAGUGAGGAAUAUUGGUCAAUGGGCGCUAGCCUGAACCAGCCAAGUAGCGUGAAGGAUGACUGCCCUAUGGGUUGUAAACUUCUUUUAUACGGGAAUAAAGUGAGGCACGUGUACCUUUUUGUAUGUACUUUAUGAAUAAGGAUCGGCUAACUCCGUGCCAGCAGCCGCGGUAAUACGGAGGAUCCGAGCGUUAUCCGGAUUUAUUGGGUUUAAAGGGAGCGUAGAUGGGUUGUUAAGUCAGUUGUGAAAGUUUGCGGCUCAACCGUAAAAUUGCAAUUGAUACUGGCAGGCUUGAGUACAGUUGAGGUAGGCGGAAUUCGUGGUGUAGCGGUGAAAUGCUUAGAGAUCACGAAGAACUCCGAUUGCGAAGGCAGCUUACUAAACUGCCACUGACAUUGAUGCUCGAAAGUGUGGGUAUCAAACAGGAUUAGAUACCCGAGUAGUC